rnacentral:rRNA from 1 species
ACUCCUACGGGAUGCAGCAGUGAGGAAUAUUGGACAAUGGGUGGAAGCCUGAUCCAGCCAUCCCGCGUGUAGGAUGACGGCCUUAUGGGUUGUAAACUACUUUUAUCUGGGGAUAAACCUACUUACGUGUAAGUAGCUGAAGGUACCAGAAGAAUAAGCACCGGCUAACUCCGUGCCAGCAGCCGCGGUAAU